rnacentral:tRNA from 1 species
GGCACUGUCGCCAAGUGGUUAAGGCAAGCGGUUCAUACCCGCUCAUCCGCUGGUUCAAAUCCAGCCAGUGCCA